rnacentral:tRNA from 1 species
GGAUGGUUAGCUUAUCGGUUAGAGCUUUGUAUUGCGCAAUCAAUUAUCACGAUUGAGAGAGGUUCGAUUCCUCUACCAUCCACCA